rnacentral:rRNA from 1 species
GUAGCAGAUCUGGUGGUAGGAGCUACUACUACUCUUCCAUUUGGACAUUGUUUGCUCAUCCUUAACUCAGCCAUGCCCCCCCAAUCGUCGUCCUCAUCUCCGAUGCCGGUUAUGGACGCACGGAUGUGGCUGGUACUUCAGGCCGGAGCACUGAUAGUUGUGAUUCAGGCAUUGGUGAUGUUCAUGCAAAGGUGAGCCGUUCAUCAUGUUGAGAGACCUAUCAUCAGAUAUGCUCCAUUGCUUAUGCAGGAGCAGAAGAGGAUCACCAAUCCAAACUACAUAUACAACUACAAUGACUUAGAAGCUCUAUGGAUGCUAUGAAUGAAAAGAGCACCAUUUGCCAGACUUGUUCAGACCUUCAGAUCCAGGGGGCUGCUAGAAGAUAGCAUCUACACCAUUGUGGAUGAGCAAAUGUCCAUGUUCCUUCAUAUUAUUGGCCAUAACCAGAGGUUUGGGGUUCUCCACAACACGUUUAGGAGGUCAAUGGAGACCAUGUCAAGGUACUUCAAGAAAGUGUGGUAUGCUGUUAGGGAGCUCAGAGGAGAGAUGAUCAAGUCACCACCGGUCAGGACUCCCACCAAGAUUCGCACAAGCCCAAGAUGGUAUCCAUACUUCAAGGUGAGCACUGAGUAUGUAGUGCAUUGCUUGAUAUGCUUGGAUAGUUCAAGGUGA